rnacentral:rRNA from 1 species
AGUGAACGCUGGCGGUAGGCCUAACACAUGCAAGUCGAACGGCAGCACAGUAAGAGCUUGCUCUUACGGGUGGCGAGUGGCGGACGGGUGAGGAAUACAUCGGAAUCUACUUUUUCGUGGGGGAUAACGUAGGGAAACUUACGCUAAUACCGCAUACGACCUACGGGUGAAAGCAGGGGAUCUUCGGACCUUGCGCGAUUGAAUGAGCCGAUGUCGGAUUAGCUAGUUGGCGGGGUAAAGGCCCACCAAGGCGACGAUCCGUAGCUGGUCUGAGAGGAUGAUCGGCCACACUGGAACUGAGACACGGUCCAGACUCCUACGGGAGGCAGCAGUGGGGAAUAUUGGACAAUGGGCGAAAGCCUGAUCCAGCAAUACCGCGUGGGUGAAGAAGGCCUUCGGGUUGUAAAGCCCUUUUGUUGGGAAAGAAAAGCAGCAGGCUAAUACCCCGCUGUUCUGACGGUACCCAAAGAAUAAGCACCGGCUAACUUCGUG